CGGACCGGCGCACGGGUGAGUAACGCGUAUGCAACCUACCUAUCAGGAGGGGAUAACCCGGCGAAAGUCGGACUAAUACCGCAUAAAACAGGGGUUCCACAUGGAAAUAUUUGUUAAAGAAUUAUCGCUGAUAGAUGGGCAUGCGUUCCAUUAGAUAGUUGGUGAGGUAACGGCUCACCAAGUCCACGAUGGAUAGGGGUUCUGAGAGGAAGGUCCCCCACACUGGUACUGAGACACGGACCAG
rnacentral:rRNA from 1 species